AGGAUCGGCUCCUCUGCUCCAUCUCCCAUGGAUCCUCUCAAGCAAGAAAACCUACAAGCAGAAAACCCUUGAUUGAUGCGAUGCUCUUGAACUGGACGGUGGGUGUCACCGCAAAAGAGAGCUAACUCAUGGAGCCAUGGAAGGAUGGGCAUUUGUCACCAAGGGACACAAAGCUCAAGGUUUCUAAUGAUGGAGCUAUUUCCCAAUGUACCUUUGACAUCCCCAGGCAGAGAUCUGAAUCUUUCUCUUUGCACACGAAUAUCUCUGGACUAGAGCAAAAACAUUAUGGAGGGCAAUCAUUGGUAUGACCAGAGUGCCCUCAAAACCCAGAGCAGCCAUGCAGCUCUGCCUGUUCUUUUCCCCCAAGCUUCCACCUGAUGCCAAGCUUGCCUCUGCAAACACCGAUCUAGUCUGAGGAUUUCACCUUUUCCAGCGUGCCCAGUAAGUGGACGGAUGCAGGUGAUGACCCACUAAGACCGAUUUCUUCUGCUUAGUGCCACACGUCUGAGAUCCACCCAGGUUGCUGCAUGAGUCAGGAAUGGUUCCACUUUAUUUCUGAGUUGUCAAAAUUGCUGU